AGUCAUUGGCCUCGCCCUACCACACGUCGACCCCUUUCCUCAUUGCCGACUCUAACCGGCGUUACUUUUGCCACAUAACCACUUCAAAGUGGACGCCGUAAGGCCACGUGCACCUCCGAGAUCGACCUUUUAACUCCUUCAGCUCGCGAGGCUUGGAGUUCGAGAAGAAACAGAAUUGAUCCGAGCUCCCAUGAAUGGGAUUCGUUCACGUUCGGAAGCAUAUUAUGUCCACGUGAAACCAGAUCGAGCAGCGAAACGGCGAGGCGACACUAAUGUUUUUUCAGCCAUGCCUGCGAGUUGGUUAUAAUGUGCGGACUGCAUUACAAAUCGUUCGAAUGCAUGCUGAAAAAUCAUAACCGAGGUACAGAAUUUGCCAGGAUGUACCGUCGCGACUGACUUUGUAGAAGGUCAAAAAAGUUGCCAAACCUAACUUGACGCGUCACCGCAAUUUCCAUUCAUUCUUUCGCUGCCGCCGUUUCUAUACGACGUAGUUGUUCAGCAAAAAACGUAUACAAUGAAAGUUAAAGUUACGAGUCACCAGCACCCCCCAAUCUCACCUGCCUGGAAUUGUUUACGUAUGAUCUGUGGGCCACCUCGGGAGCUUUCGGUCGUCCAGUGGUACCGGAAGUGAAUUGAAUAACCAUGCCGCUCCCGGGAGAGAUUUCACCCUGUUCAGCACCGAUGGCUUCCACUUCAAUGCUGCUGGCCAGGGACUCGACGUCGACGAAUCUCCUGGUGCCACUGUGAUGGAUGACAUUUUUUAGGAAAAAUUAAUUAAAAUCCACUCACGAAAGUUAAUCCCGAGUGUUAUUCUUCACAUCUAUAUGUAAUCUGCGUGUAUAAUUUGAACGAAUAAUUGUUCAAACUUU
rnacentral:lncRNA from 1 species